GGUCAUGAGGUAUGCGCUGCAAGGCUGGAUGCAGUCAGUUUACCACUGCUCUCAGGUGAGGGCUAAGGGCCUGGGCCCAAGCCUAGCCCAGCUCCCAGACCACAGGCAAAAGCUGCAGAGACCCCAGGAGUUAUUUUCAAGGAAUCCCCAUCGUGUAUUAAUGCUGGUCUUGAAGAGUGGCAGCUAAACUUUGGAGAGGGAGAUGGAAAGGCCUGCACAGGGAGUUGACCACCCUGGGGAGGAGCCUUCAUAACUGUCCUGCAGAAUGAGGUUACAGGCUGGCUGACUGAAUAAACUUGCUUUACAAUUGAGGAACUUCUUGAGUUUCCAGUGCUGCGUACACAAGAAUAUCUUGGAAUGGAACGUGAUGGCAGGUGCAGGUACUCGUGGGAAUAUUAUGGGUAAAUUAUGGGUAAUAUACAAAUAUUUAUUUAUAAAAACAGAAUCAUUGGGCUUUUAUUUUGUUUUAUUGGUAACACGCCGUAUUUAGGUAUAGCCCGGGCUUUUAUUUUGGCUGAAGGUAAGAUCUCAAACUGCCUCCUAAAAGCUUGAGAGCGGCAUUGUUUCAGAGAUAAAAGGGAGAGGAAGAGCACGAGCUGUCUGUACCGCUUAUGGGAAGGGCAGACGCAUAGCGCGGUACUUUCUCAGCGCCCACGGGGAUACAAACGACACCGCGAACAACCGGUUGAAACCGCAGUAAGUGGAGCAAGGCGGUGAGCAGGUAUGUGCCCGCAGGGAAAAACAAGGGGGUGCGUAAGGGGGGAAAGCCUUACGAAGGCUGGCAUAGAAAUUAAAGGCUAAAAAUUAACCGAGGUGGGUAACUCGGAGCCCGAUUGCGAUCAGCCGCUCGACCGGCUGCGGGCUGACCCGCGCCUCGGCCGCAUUCCUU
rnacentral:lncRNA from 1 species